CAGUCGAACGAUGAAGACCGGUGCUUGCACUGGUUGGAUUAGUGGCGAACGGGUGAGUAAUACGUGAGUAACCUGCCUUUGACUCUGGGAUAAGCCUUGGAAACGAGGUCUAAUACCGGAUAUGACACAGUUUCGCAUGAAAUCUGUGUGGAAAGGGUUUUGUACUGGUUUUAGAUGGGCUCACGGCCUAUCAGCUUGUUGGUGAGGUAAUGGCUCACCAAGGCGACGACGGGUAGCCGGCCUGAGAGGGUGACCGGCCACACUGGGACUGAGACACGGCCCAGACUCCUACGGGAGGCAGCAGUGGGGAAUAUUGCACAAUGGGCGCAAGCCUGAUGCAGCGACGCCGCGUGAGGGAUGACGGCCUUCGGGUUGUAAACCUCUUUCAGCAGGGGAGAAGCGAAAGUGACGGUACCUGCAGAAGAAGCGCCGGCUAACUACGUGCCAGCAGCCGCGGUAAUACGUAGGGCGCGAGCGUUGUCCGGAAUUAUUGGGCGUAAAGAGCUUGUAGGCGGUUUGUCGCGUCUGCUGUGAAAGCCCGGGGCUUAACUCCGGGUUUGCAGUGGGUACGGGCUAACUAGAGUGCAGUAGGGGAGACUGGAAUUCCUGGUGUA
rnacentral:rRNA from 1 species